UGGGGAAUCUUGCACAAUGGGGGAAACCCUGAUGCAGCGACGCCGCGUGAGCGAUGAAGGUUUUCGAAUCGUAAAGCUCUGUCCUAUGGGAAGAUAAUGACGGUACCAUGGGAGGAAGCCCCGGCUAACUACGUGCCAGCAGCCGCGGUAAUACGUAGGGGGCGAGCGUUGUCCGGAAUUACUGGGCGUAAAGGGUUCGCAGGCGGCAUGGCAAGUCCGAUGUAAAAGGCGAAGGCUCAACCUUCGUAAGCAUCGGAAACUGUCAAGCUUGAGUGAAGGAGAGGCAAGUGGAAUUCCUAGUGUCGCGGUGGAAUGCGUAGAUAUUAGGAGGAAUACCGGUGGCGAAGGCGACUUGCUGGACUUCAACUGACGCUGAGGAACGAAAGCGUGGGUAGCAAACAGG
rnacentral:rRNA from 1 species